GCGUUCGGGCGUGGAAGAAUGCAGUCGACGAUGACUUAAGGGUAGCAAUAUUCUUGAGUCGGAGUGGCGCAAGGGUGCGUAACACGUGGGCAAUCUGCCGUGAAGUUAGGAAUAACUUGCUGAAAGGCGAGCUAAUACCAAAUGUGGAUUCCGGGAGGCAUCUCCUGGCAUCCAAAGCUGGGGACCCUUCGGGGCCUGGCGCUUCACGAUGAGCCCGCGGCCUAUCAGCUAGUUGGUGAGGUAACGGCUCACCAAGGCUAAGACGGGUAGCUGGUCUGAGAGAACGACCAGCCACACUGGAACUGAGACACGGUCCAGACACCUACGGGUGGCAGCAGUCGAGAAUCUUUCUCAAUGGGCGAAAGCCUGAAGGAGCGACGCCGCGUGGGGGAUGAAUGGCUUCGGCCCGUAAACCCCUGUCAUUCGUGAACAAGGUCUGCAGUUUAAGAGAUGGCAGGCUCGAUAGUAACGAAAGAGGAAGGGACGGCUAACUCUGUGCCAGCAGCCGCGGUAAUACAGAGGUCCCAAGCGUUGUUCGGAUUCACUGGGCGUAAAGGGUGCGUAGGUGGUGGGAAAAGUCUGAUGUGAAAGCUCCGGGCUUAACUCGGAAAUGGCAUCAGAAACUCUCUCGUAGGAGGGGGUUGGGAGGGGGGGACUGGAAUUCUCGGUGUAGCAGUGAAAUGCGUAGAUAUCGAGAGGAACACCAGUGGCGAAGGCGAGUCCCUGGACAACUCCUGACACUGAGGCACGAAAGCUAGGGGAGCAAACAGGAUUAGAUACCCUGGUAGUCCUAGCUGUAAACGGUGCACAUUUGCUGUGGGAGGAUUCGACCCCUUUCGUGGCGAAGCAAACGCGUUAAAUGUGCCGCCUGGGGAGUACGGUCGCAAGAUUAAAACUCAAAGGAAUUGACGG
rnacentral:rRNA from 1 species